GAGUUUGAUCGUGGCUCAGAUUGAACGCUGGCGGCAUGCCUUACACAUGCAAGUCGAACGGCAGCACGGGAGCUUGCUCCUGGUGGGCGGGUGGCGAACGGGUGAGUAAUGCAUCGGAACGUAUCCUGGAGUGGGGGAUAACGUAGCGAAAGUUACGCUAAUACCGCAUAUUCUGUGAGCAGGAAAGCGGGGGACCUUCGGGCCUCGCGCUCUUGGAGCGGCCGAUGUCGGAUUAGCUAGUUGGUGAGGUAAAGGCUCACCAAGGCGACGAUCCGUAGCAGGUCUGAGAGGAUGAUCUGCCACACUGGAACUGAGACACGGUCCAGACUCCUACGGGAGGCAGCAGUGGGGAAUUUUGGACAAUGGGGGCAACCCUGAUCCAGCCAUGCCGCGUGAGUGAAGAAGGCCUCGGUUGUAAG
rnacentral:rRNA from 1 species